GGGGGUGUACGUUGUCGGAUUAUUGGGCGUAAGCGAGCGCAGGCGGUUUUUUAAGUCUGAUGUGAAAGCCUUCGGCUCAACCGAAGAAGUGCAUCGGAAACUGGGAAACUUGAGUGCAGAAGAGGACAGUGGAACUCCAUGUGUAGCGGUGAAAUGCGUAGAUAUAUGGAAGAACACCAGUGGCGAAGGCGGCUGUCUGGUCUGUAACUGACGCUGAGGCUCGAAAGUAUGGGUAGCAAACAGGAUUAGAUACCCUGGUAGUCCAUACCGUAAACGAUGAAUGCUAAGUGUUGGAGGGUUUCCGCCCUUCAGUGCUGCAGCUAACGCAUUAAGCAUUCCGCCUGGGGAGUACGGCCGCAAGGCUGAAACUCAAAGGAAUUGACGGGGGCCCGCACAAGCGGUGGAGCAUGUGGUUUAAUUCGAAGCUACGCGAAGAACCUUACCAGGUCUUGACAUACUAUGCAAAUCUAAGAGAUUAGACGUUCCCUUCGGGGACAUGGAUACAGGUGGUGCAUGGUUGUCGUCAGCUCGUGUCGUGAGAUGUUGGGUUAAGUCCCGCAACGAGCGCAACCCUUAUUAUCAGUUGCCAGCAUUAAGUUGGGCACUCUGGUGAGACUGCCGGUGACAAACCGGAGGAAGGUGGGGAUGACGUCAAAUCAUCAUGCCCCUUAUGACCUGGGCUACACACGUGCUACAAUGGAUGGUACAACGAGUUGCGAACUCGCGAGAGUAAGCUAAUCUCUUAAAGCCAUUCUCAGUUCGGAUUGUAGGCUGCAACUCGCCUACAUGAAGUCGGAAUCGCUAGUAAUCGCGGAUCAGCAUGCCGCGGUGAAUACGUUCCCGGGCCUUGUACACACCGCCCGUCACACCAUGAGAGUUUGUAACACCCAAAGUCGGUGGGGUAACCUUUUAGGAACCAGCCGCCUAAGGUGGGACAGAUGAUUAGGUGAUCUAACCCCG
rnacentral:rRNA from 1 species